GCCGGGUUAGCUCACUCGGUUAAGGCGCUGACUUUGUGGAGCAGAAGUGACUAUCACGGCGCGGGUUCGAUCCCAGUUGUCGGCA